rnacentral:rRNA from 1 species
GCGUCUAUUCAGCUAGUUGGUGGGGUAAAGGCCUACCAAGGCGAAGACGGGUAGCCGGCUGAGAGGGUGAACGGCCCACACUGGGACUGAGACACGGCCCAGACUCCUACGGGAGGCAGCAGUGAGGAAUUUUCCGCAAUGGGCGCAAGCCUGACGGAGCGACGCCGCGUGAGGGAUGACGGCCUUCGGGUUGUAAACCUCUUUUAUUAAGGAAAAAGGCAAUCGUGCUAACACCACGGUUGUUUGAUGGUACUUAUUGAAUAAGCCCCGGCUAACUACGUGCCAGCAGCCGCGGUAAUACGUAGGGGGCGAGCGUUGUCCGGAGUUACUGGGCGUAAAGAGCGUGUAGGCGGUUGAAAAAGUCAGGUGUGAAAUUCUUCGGCUCAACCGAGGGACUGCGCCUGAAACUUUUCGACUGGAGUUCGGGAGGGGCAACUGGAAUUCCUGGUGUAACGGUGAAAUGUGUAGAUCUCGGGAGGAACACCCGUGGCGAAGGCGGGUUGCUGGACCGAAACUGACGCUGAGACGCGAAAGCGUGGGUAGCAAACAGGAUUAGAUACCCUGGUAGUCCACGCUGUAAACGAUGAGUGCUAGGUGUAGGGGGUAUCGACUCCUUCUGUGCCGCAGUUAA